AUCGAACGCUGGCGGCAGGCCUAACACAUGCAAGUAGAACGAGUGGCGGACGGGUGAGUAAUGACUGGGAAACUGACUGAUGGAGGGGGAAAACCACUGGCAACGGUAGCCAAUACCGCAUACCCUCGGAGGAGCCCAGAUGGGAAUGGCGAGUAGGUGGGGUAAAGGCUCACCUAGGCGACGAUCCCUAGCUGGUGUGAGAGGAUGACCCGCCACACUGGAACGGAGACACGGUCCAGACUCCGACGGGAGGCAGCAGGGGAGAAUAUUGCACAAUGGGAGCAAGCCUGAGGCAGCCAUGCCGCGAGUAUGAAGAAGGCCUGCGUGUUGUAAAGUAGUUUCAGCGGGGAGGCGGUACCAGAAGAAGAAGCACCGGCUAACUCCGUGCCAGCAGCCGCGUAAUAG
rnacentral:rRNA from 1 species